AUACGUAGGGUGCAAGCGUUAAUCGGAAUUACUGGGCGUAAAGCGUGCGCAGGCGGAUUUGUAAGACAGAGGUGAAAUCCCCGGGCUUAACCUGGGAACUGCCUUUGAGACUGCCAGGCUGGAGUACGGCAGAGGGGGGUGGAAUUCCGCGUGUAGCAGUGGAAUGCGUAGAUAUGCGGAGGAACACCGAUGGCGAAGGCAAUCCCCUGGGCCUUUACUGACGCGCAUGCACGAAAGCGUGGGGAGCAAACAGGAUUAGAUACCCUGGUAGUCCACGCCCUAAACGAUGUCGACUGGUUGUUGGGUCUUCAUUGACUCAGUAACGAAGCUAACGCGUGAAGUUGACCGCCUGGGGAGUACGGCCGCAAGGUUGAAACUCAAAUGAAUUGGCGGGG
rnacentral:rRNA from 1 species